rnacentral:rRNA from 1 species
AGUGAACGCUGGCGGCAGGCCUAACACAUGCAAGUCGAGCGGCAGCGCGGGGGCAACCCUGGCGGCGAGCGGCGGACGGGUGAGGAAUUCGUCGGAAUCUGCCUUUUUGUGGGGGAUAACGUAGGGAAACUUACGCUAAUACCGCAUACGACCUACGGGUGAAAGUGGGGGACAGCAAGGCCUCACGCAGAAAGAUGAGCCGAUGACCGAUUAGCUAGGUGGUGUGGUAAAGGCCCACCAAGUCGACGAUCGGUAGCUGGUCUGAGAGGAUGAUCAGCCACACUGGGACUGAGACACGGCCCAGACUCCUACGGGAGGCAGCAGUGGGGAAUAUUGGACAAUGGGCGCAAGCCUGAUCCAGCCAUGCCGCGUGUGUGAAGAAGGCCUUCGGGUUGUACAGCACUUUUGUCCGGAAAGAAAUCUUCCAACUUAAUACGUUGGGAGGAUGACGGUACCGUAAGAAUAAGCACCGGCUAACUACGUGCCAGCAGCCGCAGUAA